UGCAUCUGUACUACAACAAGGUCUAUGAGUUGGUUUUUCCUCUUGUCGAAGGUUACAGAGUUCCUCUACCGUUGGAGGAGAGAGUAACUAGUGUGACAUCAUUCUUUCGUAAGAGAUUGUGGAGACUAGAGACCGAGAGUAGUACAGAGAAUUUUUUUUAAUUGUUCCAUAUUUGAAUUAGAACUCUAUCAAGUGUUUCUUUUUGUGUCUAAUCUCAAUAUUAAGCAGUGUCACUUCCAUGUCGGCUGCUGGAUAAAUCCAGCUUUUUCCGUUUGGGUCGAAAACUAAUGGGCCAAAUUUUAUUGUAACGGGCUUGGAAGUUGGGACUUGACAAUGUGAAGUGUUGUUUUUCUUCUACAUGUUUUCAGACAGAAUAAGCCUAUGAGUGGUGUCUCAUCUUCUUCCUUUUUUUUUUCUCCAUUUUUCUCUCUUGUGCU